CACAGGCCGUGUGGUACACACCGUGGCCUACCUGGGCAAAAUGAACCCACGCAUUCGCUCCGGGGCCUAUGUUCUGGCCCAGUUCGCCUGUUUCUCCAUGGCCCUACAGAUCCUCUGGGAAGUGGCCCACCAUCUGUGACCAGCAGCUGAAGCCUCCUCAGAUACCACAAUGGGGGACGGAGCCAUGAAGGCUGAACCAGAGGACUUGGUGCCCCUUCUAGAACAGGGAUGGGCUCAGGUCCAGGGUUCCUGGCUAAGCUCAGGGUGAAGCAAAUGUUCCCAGCUCAGCCUGCUCCUGCGCGGCCUUGGCUCCUCCAAAGACUGAAAGUCAAGGAUGGGCUUUGACCAACCGCUAAAAACCGCACCUGUGAGGUUUGAAGAUGCCAAACAUCUACUCCUGUGAAAAAUCUCACCUAUGUGUGUGCAGUGUCCCUCCAGAGUCCUCCUGAGACCGGUUCAGGCUUAGCCAUUAAACAGCAGAGUGUGACCUGUG
rnacentral:lncRNA from 1 species